GAGGGGGCGAGCGUUGUUCGGAGUGACUGGGCGUAAAGAGCACGUAGGCGGUGUUGUAAGUCAUUAGUCAAAGGCUAGAGCUCAACUUUAGUAAGGCUAGUGAUACUAUAAUACUAGAGUAUCAGAGAGGAAUGCAGAAUUCCUGGUGUAGCGGUGAAAUGCGUAGAUAUCAGGAGGAAUACCGGUAGCGAAGGCGGCAAUCUGGCUGGAAACUGACGCUGAGGUGCGAAAGCGUGGGUAGCAAA
rnacentral:rRNA from 1 species